AACAGCUGAAAGAUCCGGGGAGAUGGCAAUGGUGGCAAUGGUGUAACUUCACAGGCUCCUCUUUCUAUCAUUUUUUUCUCCUCAUAUACUUCAACUAGAACUGGAUUUAACUACCUCUUCAUAUGGGGUUAAAAUCGGUUCCCCAUGUCUCCCUCCCCACAAACGAAGUGGAGCAACUCCAGUGGCCGUGUGAUGAGGUGGAAGAAGAAGAAGAAGAAGAAGAAGAAGAAGAAGAAGAAGAAGAAGAAGAAGAAGAAGAAGAAGAAGAAGAGCAGCAGCAGCAGCAACAAUAACAACAACAACAACAACAACAACAACUUUAUUAUUGCAUCCUGCCACCAUCUCCCCUAAGGGAAUCAGGACAGUUUACACAAGGCACAAGGUGCCUAAAAGCAUGACAUGACAUAAAACACAAUAUAAAAUACAAUUGAAUAAAACACGUAACAACAGCAUAAAA